AUUGAACGCUGGCGGCAGGCCUAACACACGCAAGUCGAACGAGUGGCGGACGGGUGAGUAAUGUCUGGGAAACUGACUGAUGGAGGGGGAUAACUACUGGAAACGGUAGCUAAUACCGCAUACCAUCGGAUGUGCCCAGAUGGGAUUAGCAAGUAGGUGGGGUAAAGGCUCACCUAGGCGACGAUCCCUAGCUGGUGUGAGAGGAUGACCAUCCACACUGGAACUGAGACACGGGCCAUCCUCCGACGGGAGGUAGCAGUGGGGAAUAUUGCACAAUGGGCGCAAGCCUGAUGCAGCCAUGCCGCGUGUAUGAAGAAGGCCUUCGGGUUGUACAGUACUUUCAGCGGGGAGGCGUUACCCGCAGAAGAAGCACGGGCUAACUCCAUACCAGCAGCCGAGGUAGUUC
rnacentral:rRNA from 1 species